ensembl:snoRNA
UAGCUACUAUAAAUUGUUCUGCUUUUAGAAUGAAGUUUCUCACUUGCUGUGGACGUGACCAUAAAAGAAUUUUCCACUAGGUUUUCUUUCUGCUACUUUUUAGCAAUCAACCUGUUGGGAACAUUA